AUACCUUUCUCGGCCUUUUGGCUAAGAUCAAGUGUAGUAUCUGUUCUUAUCAGUUUAAUAUCUGAUAUGUGGGCCAUGUGCCCACAACGAUAUUAAAUUUAUUUUUUAUGGGGGAGGGUCCACCACACUAGCUUGCUAGUGGGGCCUUCAUGUGUCGCCUGGGCGUUGCACUACUGCCCAGGCCUGGCGCACCCCAA
rnacentral:snRNA from 2 species